GGGACGAACGCUGGCGGCGUGCUUAACACAUGCAAGUCGAGCGGAAAGGCCCUUCGGGGUACUCGAGCGGCGAACGGGUGAGUAACACGUGAGCAACCUGCCCUUAGCUCUGGGAUAGCUCCGGGAAACCGGAAUUAAUACCGGAUAUGACCUAGGCCGACAUCGGCCGUGGUGGAAAGUUUUUCGGCUAGGGAUGGACUCGCGGCCUAUCAGCUAGUUGGUGGGGUAAUGGCCUACCAAGGCGACGACGGGUAGCCGGCCUGAGAGGGCGACCGGCCACACUGGGACUGAGACACGGCCCAGACUCCUACGGGAGGCAGCAGUGGGGAAUCUUGCGCAAUGGGCGAAAGCCUGACGCAGCGACGCCGCGUGGGGGAUGAAGGCCUUCGGGUUGUAAACCCCUUUCAGCAGGGACGAAGCGAAAGUGACGGUACCUGCAGAAGAAGCGCCGGCUAACUACGCGCCAGCAGCCGC
rnacentral:rRNA from 1 species